CACCACCAACAGGCGGAACCCCUCACCACGAAUCUUCCAGCUGUCACCACCAACAGGCAGAGCCCUCCAGGCAUUCACCACCAACAGGCGGAACCGCUCACCAUGAACCCCCCAGCUCUCACCACCAACAGGCGGAGCCCUCUCAGCUCUGACCGCCAACAGGCGGCAGCGCUCACCACAAACCUCUCAGCUCACACCACCAACAGGCAGAGCCCUCCCAGCUCUCACCACCAACAGGCGGAACCCCUCACCAUGAACCUCCUGGCGCUCACCACCAACAGGCGGAGCCCUCCCAGCUCCGACCGCCAACAGGCGGAGCCCUCCAGGCAUUCACCACCAACAGGAGGAGCCCUCCCAGCUCUCACCACCAACAGGCGGCAGUGCUCACCACGAACACCCUGGCGCUCACCACCAACAGGUGGAACCCCUCACCACGACCUCCUGGCUCUCACCACCAACAGGCGGAGCCCUCCCAGCUCUCACCACCAACAGGCGGAGCCCUCCAGACCUCCACCACCAACAGGUGGAACCCCUCACCACGAACCUCCCAGCUCUCACCACCAACAGGUGGAGCCCUCCAGGCAUUCACCAUCAACAGGCGGAACCCCUCACCAUGAACCUCCCAGCUCUCACCACGAACCUCCCAGCUCUCACCAUGAACCUCCCAGCUCUCACCACCAACAGGCAGCAGCGCUCACCAUGAACCUCCCAGCUCUCAUCACCAACAGGCAGAGCCCUCCCAGCUCUGACCACCAACAGGUGGAACCCCUCACCAUGAACCUCCCAGCUCUCACCACCAACAGGCAGAGCCCUCCCAGGCAUUCACCAUCAACAGGCGGAGCCCUCCAGGCAUUCACCACCAACAGGCGGAGCCCUCCCAGGCAUUCACCACCAACAGGCGGAGCCCUCCAGCCAUUCACCAUCAACAGGCGGAACCCCUCACCA
rnacentral:lncRNA from 1 species